rnacentral:rRNA from 1 species
AACGUAGGUUCCGAGCGUUAUCCGGAUUUACUGGGCGUAAAGCGCGUUCAGGCGGUUUGGCAAGUCGGGCAUGAAAUCUCUCAGCUCAACCGGGAGAGGUUGUCCGAUACUUCCAGACUUGAGGGCAGUAGAGGGUGGUGGAAUUCCGGGUGUAGUGGUGAAAUGCGUAGAUAUCCGGAGGAACACCAGUGGCGAAAGCGGCCACCUGGACUGCACCUGACGCUGACACGCGAAAGCUAGGGGAGCGAACGGG